rfam:Mus musculus chromosome 7, GRC primary reference assembly.
UUGUCAAUCAGGGACCUGGCUAUUUUCCAGGACUUAGCUGGACCUGGGUAUAACCAAAGCCUGACUGUAUG